CAGCUGUUUCAUUUUGACAACCGCUUAAACAAUUCCAGUUUUGCUGCAAAUUCCAAACACAUUUAUGAAAUGCUCUUCUACUCAUUCUUCAAAUCCCUUGUGGGGAAAGAUGUCGUCGUGGAACUUAAAAAUGACUUAAGUAUUUGCGGAACAUUACAUUCUGUAGACCAGUACUUAAAUAUUAAACUAACCGACAUUAAUGUUACGGAUCCAGAUAAAUAUCCACAUAUGUUGUCCGUGAAGAAUUGUUUCAUCAGAGGCUCCGUUGUUCGGUACGUACAAUUACCUGGCGAUGAGGUAGACACUCAACUAUUACAGGAUGCAGCGCGGAAGGAAGCCGUCGUCAGUACGAGAUAAAAGUAUAAACAUUUCCAUGCAGUUCAUAUAGUACAUAUACACAUCAAGUCAAUAAUUAAAAUCGUUUGUACGUUAUCCUCUCACAAAAACCAUUUACCAUUUGGAAGGCGGCAUAAAUCAUCCCACAAUUUGGAGACGAACUCUGUCAAUCAUUUAGCAAAGGAUUUACGUCAAUCACCGUUUGACUGCGUUAAAUUUGAUUUCAUAAUUCUUUCAAAUGCGUUUUGGUAUUCUGGUGAGUUUCUACGAUUUCGCAAAGAAAUGUUCUGCCAACGACUCGACUUAAAGUUUUUAUUUUAUUACAUUCAAGUAUUUUGUAGCAAUACUUGUGAGUGUAUUUGUGACAGAGCUUCGAACUUUUCAUGUAGAAAAGGAUGUGAAAAUCUUAAAGUUUCCAACUGGCACGAAAGCAAGAAUAUGGAGCAAAAACGGUACAGAUAUUAAAUCCUACUAUUUAAUAUUAUAAAUGUGAAAUUUUGUAUAUUUGUGUGUUUGGAUGUUUGGGAAACCAUCACGCGGAAACGAAUGAACGGAUUUGCAUGAAAAUUUGCACACAUAUAGUUUACGACUUAGACUGGAAAAUGGGAUACUUAAGAGUUGCCACCUGUUAAAAAAGUUUAAUUAAAUCAAUACGCAGAAACGACUGAACGGUUUUGCAUCAAAUUUUGCACUGAGAUAGUUUAUGAGCUAGAUUUGAAAAUAGGCUACUUUUUUAAGAGUUGCC